rnacentral:misc_RNA from 1 species
AAAAUAUUUGGUCUCGUGCCAAAUUUACACCUGUGUGACCAUGUCUGUAUUUGGUAGCUCGAGCGCGAUCCGGAAGCUCAACACUUCCAUUAGGGGCGCCUACCCUUGCGGGUCACAUCCCGCUUGGGUUGGGCUACCGCCUUUUUUUUUGAAAAACCUUUUUUGUUUGUCUUUUUGUCUGAACGAGAGUUGAUCUUAAUUGAUAAUGAUUGAAAA